GACGAACGCUGGCGGCGUGCUUAACACAUGCAAGUCGAACGAAGUGUCGAACGGGUGAGUAAUACGUGGGUAACCUGCCCUCCUUUUUGGGAUAAGCCUUGGAAACGGGGUCUACUACCGAAUAAAGGGGGAUGGGCUCGCGGCCUUUCAGCUUGUUGGUGGGGUGAUGGCCUACCAAGGCGGUGACGGGUAGCCGGGCUGAGAGGGUGAACGGCGACAUAGGGACUGAGGUACGGCCCAGACACCGACGGGAGGGAGCAGUGGGGGAUAUGGGACAAUGGGCGAAAGCCUGAUGCAGCGACGCCGCGGAGGGGAUGAAGGCUUUCGGGUUGUAAACCUAUUUCGCUAAAGAAAGGGUAGGUGGAGAAGAAGCGCCGGCUAACUACGUGCCAGCAGCCGCGGUAAUAC
rnacentral:rRNA from 1 species